CAGCUCCGCGACCGGCGGGAAAUUGGCCUUCCGGGGUCCCCAAAACGCGCUGCGCUGCGUGAAGGUGUAACUACGAUGGUAUGCCCAUCCAGGGAAAAUAAAGUGGAAAUGAAGACUGAGGCAGCCUCUAAGAGGGAUAGAAGUUACAAACUCAGCUCUGUGAAGGUAGGAAAGGAGCGCACUGGAAAUGAUUCAGAACUAGGAAGAAUUACCUCAUAUUCUGGAUGACAGAACCAAGCAAGAUACAAAAUGACGUUGACCAGCUGAAGCAAUGGGGCCACGAUCAACAAGAUGAAAUUCAAAAGAGAUAAAUGAGCGCUGCAUUGAAGUUCAAAAAGGAAAUCAAUUGCCCACAUACUGAACACGAUAGUCAUUAAUGUGAAACAAAAGGUUGUGGAGUUUUUCAUUGAUCACAAACUCCCCACGAGUCAAGACUUUAAAAAAUAAAAAAAUAAAAAGCUAAAGCAAUGUGAGACAGUAUUGGCAGAAGCAACCAGAUCGAGGAUCGACAUGGCUCUGCAUGAUCUGGCUCUGGCUCAUCACCACCAAGCACAAGUCUUGGACUCCCUGCUAUUGAGACACGAGGUGCUGUGGGUCUCCCUAGGCACUUAGGUAGCGCGGAUGCGUAGGGGAGUUAACAGCCAAUGGAGCAAAACUUCCACCAUUGGGAGACAGAGGCCGACAGAGAAAUCCUUCCUCUAACAGAUAACAGUUGUUUAUAUGGCUAUUGGAAGAUGGAGAUCGAGCCGUCCAAUUCAUUUUA